CCUACGGGUGGCUGCAGUGGGGAAUAUUGCACAAUGGGGGAAACUCUGAUGCAGCGACGUCGCGUGAGUGAAGACGUAUUUCGGUAUGUAAAGCUCUGUCAGCAGGGGAGAAAAUGACGGUACCUGACCAAGAAGCUCCGGCUAACUACGUGCCAGCAGCCGCGGUAAUACGUAGGGGGCCAGCGUUAUCCGGAUUUACUGGGGGUAAAGGGAGCGUAGACGGCAGGGCAAGUCCGGAGUGAAAGGCGGGGGCUCAACCCCCGGACUGCUCUGGAAACUGGCAGGCUGGAGUGCAGGAGAGGUAAGUGGAAUUCCUAGUGUAGCGGUGAAAUGCGUAGAUAUUAGGAGGAACACCAGUGGCGAAGGCAGCUUACUGGACUGUAACUGACGUUGAGGCUCGAAAGCGUGGGGAGCAAACAGGAUUAGAUACCCUUGUAGUC
rnacentral:rRNA from 1 species